rnacentral:rRNA from 1 species
ACAGAGGGGGCAAGCGUUGUUCGGAAUUAUUGGGCGUAAAGCGCGCGUAGGCGGCGAGGCAAGUCGAGGGUGAAAUCCCUCGGCUCAACUGAGGAACUGCCCUCGAAACUGCUGUGCUUGAGUCCCGGAGAGGUGAGUGGAAUUCCCAAUGUAGAGGUGAAAUGCGUAGAUAUUGGGAGGAACACCAGUGGCGAAGGCGGCUUUCUGGUCGGUAUCUGACGCUGAGGAGCGAAAGCGUGGGGAGCAAACAGGA